rnacentral:lncRNA from 1 species
CAUUGUAUAGAGUGAGAGGAAUCCAACGAUACCAAAAUCGUCGAUAUCGGUUAUGCGGACCUUUUCACCUCACAAUCGCGUGCACGCUCACGCGUACGUGUAUGUUGUCAUCUUGCAAGUUGGAUACUCUGCUCAUACCUACCAGCUUGGGAACAUGACAGUAAAGGUUUAACUGAC